rnacentral:lncRNA from 1 species
UUUUCCAUAUAAAUCGAUAACCCUUACGUAAUAAUUCAUACAAUGGAUCCACUACAUGAGCAUAAUGAGGAAUCCAUAUAUGAUAAAAUAUACAAGCGCCUAAAAACCUGCAUACUUCUAUUAAAGAGUCACAUGAAUCUUUCAUUCUUCUAAUUGCAUCAACUUUGCUUGGAUCUGGCUCUCUCCCAUAAAACCCAUACAAAUGUCCAACAAUAAGAACUUCCUAUACUUCAAAUAUAAAUUUUCGUCCUAAAAGUGUAAGAUGAACCUCUU